rnacentral:SRP_RNA from 1 species
GCCGAGCUGGGUAACUCUAGCUUGUAACCCAAGUGGGGGCAUCAAGGUGAUGGAACAUGGCUAUGGCUGUGCUUGGUCGGGAUGGUGGCUGCACCAUGUUGGCGUGCCCACUCCAAGUUGAGAGUUGAGGCGUGGUGCUUGGGCUAAGGCGGAGGUGUCAUGACUCCUAGACAAGAGGGCAAAGCGUGAGGCUGGUUUCACAGAGCAGCGAACACCUCUGGCUCCUAACAGUGGAGGGAUCA